rnacentral:rRNA from 1 species
GACGAACGCUGGCGGCGUGCCUAAUACAUGCAAGUCGAACGAGAAAUUCUUACACCGGAUGCUUGCAUCCACCGUAAGAUUUCGAGUGGCGGACGGGUGAGUAACACGUGGGUAACCUGCCCAAAAGAAGGGGAUAACAUUUGGAAACAAGUGCUAAUACCGUAUAACCAUGAUGACCGCAUGGUCAUGAUGUAAAAGGUGGUUUUGCUAUCGCUUUUGGAUGGACCCGCGGCGUAUUAACUAGUUGGUAAGGUAACGGCUUACCAAGGUGAUGAUACGUAGCCGAACUGAGAGGUUGAUCGGCCACAAUGGGACUGAGACACGGCCCAUACUCCUACGGGAGGCAGCAGUAGGGAAUCUUCCACAAUGGGCGCAAGCCUGAUGGAGCAACGCCGCGUGAGUGAAGAAGGUUUUCGGAUCGUAAAACUCUGUUGGUAGAGAAGAACGUUGGUGAGAGUGGAAAGCUCAUCAAGUGACGGUAACUACCCAGAAAGGGACGGCUAACUACGUGCCAGCCGCCGCCGUAACAC